ensembl:snRNA U6 U6 spliceosomal RNA
AUGCUUGCUUUGGCAGCACAUAUACUAAAAUUGGAACAAUACAGAGACGAUUAACAUGGCCCCAGCACAAGGAUGACACACAAAUCCGUGAAGUGUUCCCAUUUUUU